rnacentral:misc_RNA from 1 species
GUGAAGAACGCAGCGAAAUGCGAUAAGUAAUGUGAAUUGCAGAAUUCAGUGAAUCAUCGAAUCUUUGAACGCACAUUGCGCCCCCUGGUAUUCCGGGGGGCAUGCCUGUUCGAGCGUCAUUUCACCACUCAAGCCUCGCUUGGUAUUGGGCGACGCGGUCCGCCGCGCGCCUCAAAUCGACCGGCUGGGUCUUCCGUCCCCUCAGCGUUGUGGAAACUAUUCGCUAAAGGGUGCCGCGGGAGGUCACGCCGCAAAACAACCCCAUUUCUAAGGUUGACCUCGGAUCAGGUAGGGAUACCCGCUGAACUUAAGCAUAUCAAUAAGCGGAGGA